rnacentral:tRNA from 1 species
GGUGUUGUGGCUCAGUGGUAGAGCACUUGCCUAGCAUGUGCAAGGCCCUGGGUUCAAUCCUCAGUACCA